AUUGCAGUUCGUGCCGGCAAGUGAUACACGCGUCGCGGAUUACUUUAUUCUCUUCGGGUGAUUAAAAUAUUAAUCGAUUAGACUCUCGUGGAUAUUAUUUUAUUUCAUACGUGCAUCUUUGCAUCUUCGCAAGCAUUGGAGUCAGUGUCAAUGCAACGACGGAGCAGCCAAAAUGCUGAGUCGAGAAACCAAGAUCAGAUGUCAAAUCAACUAUUAUACAGAUUUCCAUUUUUUAUGGAAGUUUGACGAACUUAUCGAGAAAAGAAGGACAUACGCAAAUCGAAAUUUAGGAACAUAACAACGGAGAGCGAAGAGCAAAGAAUAUGGAGCAUGAAGUGCGGAGCGAGGGGCGCGCAACGAGGAGACAAGAGCCAGAAGCAAAGCAGUGAGGAGCGAAAAGCGGAGAGAGAAGAGAGAAGAGCGAAGAGAGAAGAGCGAAUAGAAAAAAUUGAUGGCCGAUGACACGCGUCUCAAAUAGCUCGUCCAGUAUCUUGAGUCCCGUGGCACACAUCCUGUAUCACGCGCCCCACGAUACUCGGGCCUCAAAACUUCAAGAUACCUUCAUUAAAUUAUUUAAUAUAUAUGAGUGAUCUGUCCACCCAAGAAAAUUAAUUCAGACUAAAACCGGAAUAAAACUGGAAUAAAACCGAAAUAAAAUCGGAAUUAAUUUGUUAAUUUACGAUGCGUUAAUUUAAUACAAUCUGUUAAUAUGAGAUAGGCACAUUGCCUAUGACAGUGAG